rnacentral:rRNA from 1 species
GACGGGGAGGCACUACAACGGGUGGAGCCUGCGGUUUAAUUGGAUUCAACGCCGGAAAUCUCACCGGGGCGACAGCAAUAGGAAGGUCAGGCUGAAGACCUUACCCGAUUAGCUGAGAGGUGGUGCAUGGCCGUCGUCAGUUCGUACUGUGAAGCAUCCUGUUAAGUCAGGCAACGAGCGAGACCCACGUCCACAGUUGCCAGCAUACCCUCCGGGGUGAUGGGUACACUGUGGAGACCGCCGCUGCUAAAGCGGAGGAAGGAGUGGGCAACGGUAGGUCAGUAUGCCCCGAAUCUCCCGGGCUACACGCGGGCUACAAUGGUUGGUACAAUGGGCAUCUACCCCGAAAGGGGAAGGAAAUCUCUUAAAGCCAAUCGUAGUUCGGAUUGAGGGCUGCAACUCGCCCUCAUGAAGCUGGAAUCCGUAGUAAUCGCGUUUCAACAGAACGCGGUGAAUACGUCCCUGCUCCUU